rnacentral:rRNA from 1 species
GCUAAUCUUCCCAGGGUGAGUCGGGACCUAAGGCGAGGCCGACAGGCGUAGUCGAUGGAUAACCAGUUGAUAUUCUGGUACCCGUGUAUGUGCGCCCAGUGGUGAAUCAGUGGUACUAACCAUCCAUGGAUCUGCUGGUCAUGCUUUGUGUGUGGUUGGUGGUGAUGUGCGUGGGAUCUUCGUUGGUAGUAGCCAAGUGAUGGGGUGACGCAGUGAGGUAGC